rnacentral:rRNA from 1 species
AGCAGCCGCGGUAAUUCCAGCUCCAAUAGCGUAUAUUAAAGUUGUUGCAGUUAAAAAGCUCGUAGUUGAAUUUCGGGAUCAGAUUGUCGGUCGUGCCUCGGUACGCACUGGCAUUAUUGGUUCCUACCUUCUGAAGAACCGCGAUGUCAUUAAUUUGGUGUCGUGGGGAAUCAGGACUGUUACUUUGAAAAAUUAGAGUGUUUAAAGCAGGCGCACGCUUGAAUACAUUAGUAUGGAAUAAUGAAAUAGGACGUUUGAUUCUAUUUUGUUGGUUUCUAGGAUCGACGUAAUGAUUAAUAGGGAUAGUUGGGGGCAUUAGUAUUCAAUUGUCAGAGGUGAAAUUCUUGGAUUUAUUGAAGACUAACUACUGCGAAAGCAUUUGCCAAGGAUGUUUUCAUUAAUCAAGAACGAAAGUUAGGGGAUCGAAGACGAUCAGAUACCGUCGUAGUCUUAACCAUAAACUAUGCCGACUAGGGAUCGGAUGAUGUUAAUUUUUUAAUGUACUCA